rnacentral:rRNA from 1 species
UAGGGAAUCUUCCACAAUGGACGCAAGUCUGAUGGAGCAACGCCGCGUGAGUGAAGAAGGUUUUCGGACCGUAAAGCUCUGUUGUUGGUGAAGAAGGAUAGAGGUAGUAACUGGCCUUUAUUUGACGGUAAUCAACCAGAAAGUCACGGCUAACUACGUGCCAGCAGCCGCGGUAAUACGUAGGUGGCAAGCGUUGUCCGGAUUUAUUGGGCGUAAAGCGAGCGCAGGCGGAAGAAUAAGUCUGAUGUGAAAGCCCUCGGCUUAACCGAGGAAUUGCAUCGGAAACUGUUUUCUUGAGUGCAGAAGAGGAGAGUAGAACUCCAUGUGUAGCGGUGGAAUGCGUAGAUAUAUGGAAGAAUACCAGUGGCGAAGGCGGCUCUCUGGUCUGCAACUGACGCUGAGGCUCGAAAGCAUGGGUAGCGAACAGGAUUAGAUACCCUGGUAGUCCAUGCCGUAAACGAUGAGUGCUAAGUGUUGGGAGGCCUCCGCCUCUCAGUGCUGCAGCUAACGCAUUAAGCACUCCGCCUGGGGAGUACGACCGCAAGGUU